rnacentral:rRNA from 2 species
GGUUAAGCGACUAAGCGUACACGGUGGAUGCCCUGGCAGUCAGAGGCGAUGAAGGGCGUGCUAAUCUGCGAUAAGCGCCGGUAAGGUGAUAUGAACCGUUAUAACCGGCGAUACCCGAAUGGGGAAACCCAGUGUGAUUCGUCACACUAUCAUUAACUGAAUCCAUAGGUUAAUGAGGCGAACCGGGGGAACUGAAACAUCUAAGUACCCCGAGGAAAAGAAAUCAACCGAGAUUCCCCCAGUAGCGGCGAGCGAACGGGGAGGAGCCCAGAGCCUGAAUCAGCAUGUGUGUUAGUGGAAGCGUCUGGAAAGGCGCGCGAUACAGGGUGACAGCCCCGUACACAAAAGCGCAUGUGCUGUGAGCUCGAUGAGUAGGGCGGGACACGUGGUAUCCUGUCUGAAUAUGGGGGGACCAUCCUCCAAGGCUAAAUACUCCUGACUGACCGAUAGUGAACCAGUACCGUGAGGGAAAGGCGAAAAGAACCCCGGCGAGGGGAGUGAAAAAGAACCUGAAACCGUGUACGUACAAGCAGUGGGAGCACCCUUUGGGUGUGACUGCGUACCUUUUGUAUAAUGGGUCAGCGACUUAUAUUCUGUAGCAAGGUUAACCGAAUAGGGGAGCCGGAGGGAAACCGAGUCUUAACCGGGCGUUAAGUUGCAGGGUAUAGACCCGAAACCCGGUGAUCUAGCCAUGGGCAGGUUGAAGGUUGGGUAACACUAACUGGAGGACCGAACCGACUAAUGUUGAAAAAUUAGCGGAUGACCUGUGGCU